UGCAUCGUUGCACCGUCAAAUCGAUGAGAAGGGUGCAUCACCCAGUAUUUCUGGGCUGGAACCAAAAUGCAGGCCACUGAAAUAUUCCUCGAAUUACGAGGGCAAGGAUUUUCUGUGGUUAUUGGAAUGGCAUCUGAAGCCCCACUGACUGGAAUCCAAUCAUGUCUUCACCGCGUCCUUUGGUCAGCAUUACAUGGUGACCCAGAUGAGACCCAAAGGAGAGGAACCCCUGAGGAAGUCACGACCCCCAGAACCAUGUAAAGUACCUACGUUAGUGCCUUGUGCUUUCUGCUUCUGUGAGUCACCUUGCCUUUAGUUCGUUGAAAGGACUAGGAUGAAAUGGGAAACUGUCUGCUUCAGAUUCAGUUAUUUUAGCAAAGUGGCCCACCCACACCCCAGAGAAUUCAGCUACAAGGAAGACCACUAAAAUCUUUAAUUUUCAACUCUAACAAAUGGAAGCGCCUUAAGCAAAAGCAACCCCCUCCUGGUCUCUGCCAUUAUUGGACAUUGGAAGAAAGAUUGUUCCAAAGAACAAUCUUUCCACAGUGCGUUCCUGGGAGACAAAGAUCUAAAGCGUCAUACCUUGCAGUCCAGAGAUUUCAUCUAUUGGAAAAGACAGCUACAGAAAGACUCUCUUCAACCCUGUUGGAAAGGCCCCUUUCAGAUUUAAUUUUUAAACUAAUCUCUCCACGCAACGUGGGGCUCGAACUCACAACCCCGAGAUCAAGAGUUGCACACUCCUCUGACUGAGCCAGCCAGGCAGCCUCCCGUGUGUCACAUCUAACGAAAGCGCCAAACCCUGACUAGAUCUGCAUAUCCCCUGAGUACCUGGAAAUAAAGAUUUCCAGGAAUUGAAGCAGACGACAGCUGAAGGAGACAGCUUUCCCAAGAUGACUGGACCAGACCUGUAUACCUUUUUCUCGCUGUUGCUUCUUCCCUUAUUUCCUCCCUUUCUUUCUAAUCUAUUGCAAAAAGGGAGCCUUUCUGGCUGUUGGAUCUGACACCAGAAACUUCGAUUUGUUCUUCCCUAUUUAUUAUUUGUUUCCCUGUAUCCAAGGGAAAUACAAAUGAACUAACUCCUCUUUGCAAGGCUUUUUAAAAAAAGAUCUUUAU